UAAGACUGGGAUAACUCCGGGAAACCGGGGCUAAUACCGGAUGGUUGUUUGACCCGCAUGGUUCAGACAUAAAAGGUGGCUUCGGCUACCACUUACAGAUGGACCCGCGGCGCAUUAGCUAGUUGGUGAGGUAACGGCUCACCAAGGCGACGAUGCGUAGCCGACCUGAGAGGGUGAUCGGCCACACUGGGACUGAGACACGGCCCAGACUCCUACGGGAGGCAGCAGUAGGGAAUCUUCCGCAAUGGACGAAAGUCUGACGGAGCAACGCCGCGUGAGUGAUGAAGGUUUUCGGAUCGUAAAGCUCUGUUGUUAGGGAAGAACAAGUGCCGUUCAAAUAGGGCGGCACCUUGACGGUACCUAACCAGAAAGCCACGGCUAACUACGUGCCAGCAGCCGCGGUAAUACGUAGGUGGCAAGCGUUGUCCGGAAUUAUUGGGCGUAAAGGGCUAGCAGGCGGUUUCUUAAGUCUGAUGUGAAAGCCCCCGGCUCAACCGGGGAGGCACACUUGAAACUUGG
rnacentral:rRNA from 1 species